GUUUUGCUUUUGUUAUUUUUGCGACCCGUUAUCACGCUGCAAGAGCGUGAUGCUCUAUGAGAUAUUACACGCAGAAAAAACCUUCGCAGAGUUCUGUAGGUCUUGUAAGUAAAGUGCUUAACUAGAAACAAAAAUUAUUUUUAAAAAUUAUUUGAAAACUUUUCAGGUUAAUCUGUUUUUUAAGAGUAAAGAAGACUAAAAUUAGCAUACAAUAUUUACGUCGGACAUAUCUAAAUCAUGCCCUUGGAAUAAAAACACUUUGUAUUUAGAUAAGUUAAUUAUGAGGUAAUUCUUUCUUUUUUUUGCAAAUUUAUCCGGCUGUGCAGUCAAAUGCUUUGCUUGAGUUGCUUCAAAAAGAGCUAAAGCACUUUUGCGGCUUUAGAUCAUAAAAUAUUAUUAUUUUAACAAUUUGUGCUAGUUUUUAUAUUUCUAGCAAAUGACUAGUUGUCCCAUUGUCACUAAACCCUAUGUAUGUAUCUAGCCUUUUAAAAUUCGAAAUAUUUUCACUCCACCACUAAAAAACAUGUGUUUCACUCAAGUCGUUAAGUAUUUUUCUAAGUACCGUUCUCGUUCUGUUGUCGGUCGCUUGUUUUUAGCCUAUAUCUGGCAAUUAAUAUUAGCACUUUAUCUAAUUUGACAAAUAGACUGUAACUGAAAAACCUGCUUGCCGGACAUGCGAACUGUAGCGCAGAGGAGUGACAAAUGUUUUCUGUCAAAGUUCGUUCACCGUAAAAAAAAGAGAAAUGGCUCGGCCUAAUUAAAAGUCAAACAGGAACAUAUAGAGGCACGGAUGAAGUGAGUGUGGUGCCGGGUACAGAACUUUCGACUGCCCUUGGACGGAAUUAAUUAAGUCACAAUGCACAAGGGUCUUAAAAGAAACCAAAGCCUAACCUUCCGAUAAACAGUGCAGCUCAACUGGAACCUUGAGAGGCGAAGAAACCUACUUAAGCUCGACCUAAGACCGAAGAGCCAGAGGGCCCGAAACCGAAAGUCACAAGUCUAGGCUGGCAGCCUUUGAAAACUCUUGCGCAGAGUAGCCUUUCUCGAUCUCCUCUGGCUGUUUUACGUAAGCACUGGCCCCAGGGAAACGUGUAUAAAUCCUGUUGCAAUGGCUCAACAAGUGGCCAGAAGCUGGAAAACCAACCUGUUUGCUUCUCCAAAAAGGCCCGGAUUCAGCUUUUCAAACUCGCACUUUUCCACUACGCACAGUCGGUUGUCCGAAACCUGU